UUAAGCGACUAAGCGUACACGGUGGAUGCCCUGGCAGUCAGAGGCGAUGAAGGACGUGCUAAUCUGCGAUAAGCGUCGGUAAGGUGAUAUGAACCGUUAUAACCGGCGAUUUCCGAAUGGGGAAACCCAGUGUGUUUCGACACACUAUCAUUAACUGAAUCCAUAGGUUAAUGAGGCGAACCGGGGGAACUGAAACAUCUAAGUACCCCGAGGAAAAGAAAUCAACCGAGAUUCCCCCAGUAGCGGCGAGCGAACGGGGAGGAGCCCAGAGCCUGAAUCAGUAUGUGUGUUAGUGGAAGCGUCUGGAAAGGCGCGCGAUACAGGGUGACAGCCCCGUACACAAAAAUGCACAUAUUGUGAGCUCGAUGAGUAGGGCGGGACACGUGGUAUCCUGUCUGAAUAUGGGGGGACCAUCCUCCAAGGCUAAAUACUCCUGACUGACCGAUAGUGAACCAGUACCGUGAGGGAAAGGCGAAAAGAACCCCGGCGAGGGGAGUGAAAAAGAACCUGAAACCGUGUACGUACAAGCAGUGGGAGCACGCUUCGGCGUGUGACUGCGUACCUUUUGUAUAAUGGGUCAGCGACUUAUAUUCUGUAGCAAGGUUAACCGAAUAGGGGAGCCGAAGGGAAACCGAGUCUUAACUGGGCGUUAAGUUGCAGGGUAUAGACCCGAAACCCGGUGAUCUAGCCAUGGGCAGGUUGAAGGUUGGGUAACACUAACUGGAGGACCGAACCGACUAAUGUUGAAAAAUUAGCGGAUGACUUGUGGCUGGGGGUGAAAGGCCAAUCAAACCGGGAGAUAGCUGGUUCUCCCCGAAAGCUAUUUAGGUAGCGCCUCGUGAACUCAUCUCCGGGGGUAGAGCACUGUUUCGGCAAGGGGGUCAUCCCGACUUACCAACCCGAUGCAAACUGCGAAUACCGGAGAAUGUUAUCACGGGAGACACACGGCGGGUGCUAACGUCCGUCGUGAAGAGGGAAACAACCCAGACCGCCAGCUAAGGUCCCAAAGUCAUGGUUAAGUGGGAAACGAUGUGGGAAGGCCCAGACAGCCAGGAUGUUGGCUUAGAAGCAGCCAUCAUUUAAAGAAAGCGUAAUAGCUCACUGGUCGAGUCGGCCUGCGCGGAAGAUGUAACGGGGCUAAACCAUGCACCGAAGCUGCGGCAGCGACACUAUGUGUUGUUGGGUAGGGGAGCGUUCUGUAAGCCUGUGAAGGUGUGCUGUGAGGCAUGCUGGAGGUAUCAGAAGUGCGAAUGCUGACAUAAGUAACGAUAAAGCGGGUGAAAAGCCCGCUCGCCGGAAGACCAAGGGUUCCUGUCCAACGUUAAUCGGGGCAGGGUGAGUCGACCCCUAAGGCGAGGCCGAAAGGCGUAGUCGAUGGGAAACAGGUUAAUAUUCCUGUACUUGGUGUUACUGCGAAGGGGGGACGGAGAAGGCUAUGUUGGCCGGGCGACGGUUGUCCCGGUUUAAGCGUGUAGGCUGGUUUUCCAGGCAAAUCCGGAAAAUCAAGGCUGAGGCGUGAUGACGAGGCACUACGGUGCUGAAGCAACAAAUGCCCUGCUUCCAGGAAAAGCCUCUAAGCAUCAGGUAACAUCAAAUCGUACCCCAAACCGACACAGGUGGUCAGGUAGAGAAUACCAAGGCGCUUGAGAGAACUCGGGUGAAGGAACUAGGCAAAAUGGUGCCGUAACUUCGGGAGAAGGCACGCUGAUAUGUAGGUGAAGUCCCUUGCGGAUGGAGCUGAAAUCAGUCGAAGAUACCAGCUGGCUGCAACUGUUUAUUAAAAACACAGCACUGUGCAAACACGAAAGUGGACGUAUACGGUGUGACGCCUGCCCGGUGCCGGAAGGUUAAUUGAUGGGGUCAGCGCAAGCGAAGCUCUUGAUCGAAGCCCCGGUAAACGGCGGCCGUAACUAUAACGGUCCUAAGGUAGCGAAAUUCCUUGUCGGGUAAGUUCCGACCUGCACGAAUGGCGUAAUGAUGGCCAGGCUGUCUCCACCCGAGACUCAGUGAAAUUGAACUCGCUGUGAAGAUGCAGUGUACCCGCGGCAAGACGGAAAGACCCCGUGAACCUUUACUAUAGCUUGACACUGAACAUUGAGCCUUGAUGUGUAGGAUAGGUGGGAGGCUUGGAAGUGUGGACGCCAGUCUGCAUGGAGCCGACCUUGAAAUACCACCCUUUAAUGUUUGAUGUUCUAACGUUGACCCGUAAUCCGGGUUGCGGACAGUGUCUGGUGGGUAGUUUGACUGGGGCGGUCUCCUCCUAAAGAGUAACGGAGGAGCACGAAGGUUGGCUAAUCCUGGUCGGACAUCAGGAGGUUAGUGCAAUGGCAUAAGCCAGCUUGACUGCGAGCGUGACGGCGCGAGCAGGUGCGAAAGCAGGUCAUAGUGAUCCGGUGGUUCUGAAUGGAAGGGCCAUCGCUCAACGGAUAAAAGGUACUCCGGGGAUAACAGGCUGAUACCGCCCAAGAGUUCAUAUCGACGGCGGUGUUUGGCACCUCGAUGUCGGCUCAUCACAUCCUGGGGCUGAAGUAGGUCCCAAGGGUAUGGCUGUUCGCCAUUUAAAGUGGUACGCGAGCUGGGUUUAGAACGUCGUGAGACAGUUCGGUCCCUAUCUGCCGUGGGCGCUGGAGAACUGAGGGGGGCUGCUCCUAGUACGAGAGGACCGGAGUGGACGCAUCACUGGUGUUCGGGUUGUCAUGCCAAUGGCACUGCCCGGUAGCUAAAUGCGGAAGAGAUAAGUGCUGAAAGCAUCUAAGCACGAAACUUGCCCCGAGAUGAGUUCUCCCUGACUCCUUGAGAGUCCUGAAGGAACGUUGAAGACGACGACGUUGAUAGGCCGGGUGUGUAAGCGCAGCGAUGCGUUGAGCUAACCGGUACUAAUGAACCGUGAGGCUUAACCUU
rnacentral:rRNA from 1 species